UGGAUGAGCACAAUUUAGCAAUUUAUUUUUCCAUAGGCACAAUUGUAGCUACUUGCUAAGCGUUCGUUAAUAGUCAUGUCGUUUACACUGAUUACAUGUUGAACAACAGAUUGUUAAUUUCUGCUCUCCAAGUAGCGGCUCUCACAUCUUUGGAUUACAAUCAGAUCAUGACUUUGUCUUCUCGAUUCAUUCCUUCCUCUUCUCGUAUCCUCAGUGUUGUCUGCGGAAAUUAUGGAAUUUAUAGAAGAAACUAGUUCCCUUGAACGUGUUAAUUUUAGUGUACCCCACUGAAUGACGAAUUGAAAUCCUUACCGACUGAAUGAUGUGCUGGAGAUGGAACACUUGGAGAUGUUUUUCUUGGUGAGACUUGGGGAUGUUUUUCUAGGUGAGAUGGUUGAAUGGCCACAAUAAUACAUAAAUCCUGUACUAGGAAGUUAUAUCAUACUGUUAGGAUUUUUAUUUUAUUUCUUCUUUUUUGUUGUUUCAAACAUGAAUGAAACAUGUACCUUUGUGUUGUCAAGUUAAUUGAAUUCAGAUUAAUUUUAAUAGAAUGGGUUCCAUUUGCU